GCCAAUAACAGUGCUAGAGUGAGGAGUGCUGCGGCCUGCCUACUGACAUCUCUUGUACCCAGCACUCACUUCAGAAACACCUUCAGGCAGACCAGGAACCUCCUCAGUCCACAUAAAGAAAUGACUAUGUCAACUGAGGCCAUUAUUGUUCUCCAUCAGAUAUAUGAACAUCUGCUGAGUCUUUUGGUGAGAGCAAGGCUUUAUGCAGGUG